GACGAACGCUGGCGGCGUGCUUAACACAUGCAAGUCGAACGGAAAGGCCCUGCUUUUGUGGGGUGCUCGAGUGGCGAACGGGUGAGUAACACGUGAGUAACCUGCCCUUGACUUUGGGAUAACUUCAGGAAACUGGGGCUAAUACCGGAUAGGAGCUCCUGCUGCAUGGUGGGGGUUGGAAAGUUUCGGCGGUUGGGGAUGGACUCGCGGCUUAUCCGCUUGUUGGUGGGGUAGUGGAUUACCAAGGCUUUGACGGGUAGCCGGCCUGAUAGGUUGACCGGCCACAAUGGGACUGAGAGACGGCCCAGACGCCUACGGGAGGCAGCAGUGGAGAAUAUUGCACAAUGGGCGGAAGCCUGAUGCAGCAACGCCGCGUGCGGGAUGACGGCCUUCGGGUUGUAAACCGCUUUCGCCUGUGACGAAGCGUGAGUGACGGUAAUGGGUAAAGAAGCACCGGCUAACUACGUG
rnacentral:rRNA from 1 species